GCAUGGGUUUUAUAUUAAAGAAAUUCGGUAUGAGAUGGGGAUGCGUUCCAUUAGUUUGUUGGGGGGGUAACGGCCCACCAAGACUACGAUGGAUAGGGGUUCUGAGAGGAAGGUCCCCCACAUUGGAACUGAGACACGGUCCAAACUCCUACGGGAGGCAGCAGUGAGGAAUAUUGGUCAAUGGACGCGAGUCUGAACCAGCCAAGUAGCGUGAAGGAUGACUGCCCUAUGGGUUGUAAACUUCUUUUAUAUGGGAAUAAAGUUGUCCACGUGUGGAUUUUUGUAUGUACCAUAUGAAUAAGGAUCGGCUAACUCCGUGCCAGCAGCCGCGGUAAUACGGAGGAUCCGAGCGUUAUCCGGAUUUAUUGGGUUUAAAGGGAGCGUAGGCGGAUUGUUAAGUCAGUUGUGAAAGUUUGCGGCUCAACCGUAAAAUUGCAGUUGAUACUGGCAGUCUUGAGUGCAGUAGAGGUGGGCGGAAUUCGUGGUGUAGCGGUGAAAUGCUUAGAUAUCACGAAGAACUCCGAUUGCGAAGGCAGCUCACUGGAGUGUAACUGACGCUGAUGCUCGAAAGUGUGGGUAUCAAACAGGAUUAGAUACCCUGGUAGUCCACACAGUAAACGAUGAAUACUCGCUGUUUGCGAUAUACAGUAAGCG
rnacentral:rRNA from 1 species